rnacentral:rRNA from 1 species
UCAGCCUGAAUAGUGGUGCAUGGAAUAAUGGAACAGGACCUUGGUUCUAUUUUGUUGGUUUUCGGAAUCCAAGGUAAUGAUCAAUAAGGACAGGCGGGGGCAUUCGUAUUGCGACGUUAGAGGUGAAAUUCUUGGAUCGUCGCAAGACGCACUAGAGCGAAAGCAUUUGCCAAGUAUGUCUUAAUUGAUCAAGAACGAAAGUUAGAGGUUCGAAGGCGAUCAGAUACCGCCCUAGUUCUAACCAUAAACGAUGCCAGCCAGCGAUCCGCCGACGUUCCUCCGAUGACUCGGCGGGGAGCUUUCCCCGGGAAACCAAAAGCUUUUGGGUUCCGGGGGAAGUAUGGUUGCAAAGCUGAAACUUAAAGGAAUUGACGGAAGGGCACCACCAGGAGUGGAGCCUGCGGCUUAAUUUGACUCAACACGGGAAACCUCACCAGGCCCGGACAUUGGAAGGAUUG